ACAUCCUCUGACAGUCCCUUAACCGGGACCUUCUUCGGACAGAGGAGACAGGUGGUGGCAUGGUUGUCGUCAGCUCGUGUCGUGAGAUGUUGGGUUAAGUCCGCAACGAGCGCAACCCUUGUCUUUAGUUGCCAUCAUUCAGUUGGGCACUCUAGAGAGACUGCCGAGGACAACUCGGAGGAAGGUGGGGAUGACGUCAAAUCAUCAUGCCCCUUAUGUCCUGGGCUACACACGUGCUACAAUGGCUGGUACAAAGAGACGCAAGACCGCGAGGUGGAGCAAAUCUCAAAAACCAGUCCCAGUUCGGAUUGUAGGCUGCAACUCGCCUGCAUGAAGUCGGAGUUGCUAGUAAUCGCAGAUCAGAAUGCUGCGGUGAAUGCGUUCCCGGGUCUU
rnacentral:rRNA from 2 species